rnacentral:tRNA from 1 species
GGCCCCGUAGCCAAGUGGUAAGGCAGCGGUUUGCAAAACCGUUAUCCCCCGGUUCGAAUCCGGGCGGGGCCUC